UGGUCUAUGAUGUGCUUCACUGAUCUCCCAAUAUCUUUCUAGGAAUAUGCCCUAGAGACUAUCACAUAUAUUUUAAACAGAGUGUCUUCAAAGUCUGUUGUAAGCACACCAUAUGAAAUAUGAAAAGAAAGAAAGCCUAAUUUUAAACAUCUUAAGAUUGGGGCUGUCCUACUUAUGUCAAAAAUAUUUUUGGACAUAAACUUAGUACU
rnacentral:lncRNA from 1 species